GCCGAGGUGGUGAAAUUGGUAGACACGCUAGCUUGAGGGGUUAGUAGCCGCAAGGCUGUGCAGGUUCAAGUCCUGUUCUCGGCACCA
rnacentral:tRNA from 1 species